GCUAACGCAAUGUGAUUUCUGCC
rnacentral:snRNA from 1 species